UGGGGAAUCUUGCGCAAUGGACGAAAGUCUGACGCAGCCACGCCGCGUGAGUGAAGAAGGCCUUCGGGUUGUAAAGCUCUGUCGGAAGGGACAAAAACUGAGCAAGUUAAUAGCUACUCACUUGAUGGUACCUUCAAAGGAAGCACCGGCUAACUUCGUGCCAGCAGCCGCGGUAAUACGAAGGGUGCAAGCGUUGCUCGGAAUUAUUGGGCGUAAAGGGUAGGUAGGUGGUGAUAUUUGUCUGGGGUGAAAUCCCUGAGCUUAACUCAGGACGUGCCUUGGAAACGGUAUCACUAGAGUGCUAGAGAGGUUCGUGGAAUUCUUGGUGUAGCGGUGAAAUGCGUAGAGAUCAAGAGGAACAUCAGAGGCGAAGGCGACGAACUGGAUAGUGACUGACACUAAACUACGAAAGCGUGGGGAGCAAACAGG
rnacentral:rRNA from 1 species